GAUGAACGCUGGCGGCGUGCUUAACACAUGCAAGUCGAACGGAAAGGCUCCUGCUUGCAGGGGCACUCGAGUGGCGAACGGGUGAGUAACACGUGGGUGAUCUGCCCUGCACUUCGGGAUAAGCCUGGGAAACUGGGUCUAAUACCGGAUAGGACCAUCGUUUAGUGUCGGUGGUGGAAAGUUUUUUCGGUGUGGGAUGAGCUCGCGGCCUAUCAGCUUGUUGGGGGGGUAAUGGCCUACCAAGGCGUCGACGGGUAGCCGGCCUGAGAGGGUGUACGGCCACAUUGGGACUGAGAUACGGCCCAGACUCCUACGGGAGGCAGCAGUGGGGAAUAUUGCACAAUGGGCGCAAGCCUGAUGCAGCGACGCCGCGUGGGGGAUGACGGCCUUCGGGUUGUAAACUCCUUUCGCCAGGGACGAAGCGAAAGUGACGGUACCUGGAUAAGAAGCACCGGCUAACUACGUG
rnacentral:rRNA from 1 species